GCCAUCAUUAAGUUGGGCACUCUAAGGUGACUGCCGGUGACAAACCGGAGGAAGGUGGGGAUGACGUCAAAUCAUCAUGCCCCUUAUGACCUGGGCUACACACGUGCUACAAUGGACGGUACAAAGAGCUGCAAGACCGCGAGGUGGAGCUAAUCUCAUAAAACCGUUCUCAGUUCGGAUUGUAGGCUGCAACUCGCCUACAUGAAGCUGGAAUCGCUAGUAAUCGCGGAUCAGCAUGCCGCGGUGAAUACGUUCCCGGGCCUUGUACACACCGCCCGUCACACCACGAGAGUUUGUAACACCCGAAGUCGGUGGGGUACCUUUGCAGCCAG
rnacentral:rRNA from 1 species